rnacentral:misc_RNA from 1 species
CGCACAUCGCGCCCUUUGGCAUUCCGAGGGGCAUGCCUGUUCGAGCGUCAUUACACCACUCAAGCCUGGCUUGGUAUUGGGCGAGGAGGCUCCCUCCCGCCCCAAUUUCGUCGGCUGGACCGUCCGUAUCUCAGCGUUGUGGUAUUAAAUUCGCUGGCGAGGAGGGCUCGCGCCGUUAAAACAUUUUCUCAAGGUUGACCUCGGAUCAGGUAGGGAUACCCGCUGAACUUAA